rnacentral:piRNA from 1 species
UAGCAAGAUAGGAGUCAUUUAGACACGU